rnacentral:lncRNA from 1 species
UGCUUGUUCAAUGAACCAUAAAUAUUUUUUAUUUAUUUUAUUUAUUUCACCUUUAUUAAACCAGGUAGGCUAGUUGAGAACAAGUUCUCAUUUGCAACUGCGACCUGGCCAAGAUAAAGCAGAGCAAUUCGACACAUACAACAACACAGAGUUACACAUGGAAUAAACAAAACAUACAGCCAAUAAUAUAGUAGAAAAAAGAAAACAAAAAGUCUAUAUACAGUGAGUGCAAAUGAGGUAAAAUAAGGGAGUUAAGGCAAUAAAUAGGCCAUGGUGGCAAAGUAAUUACAAUAUAGCAAUUAAACACUGGAAUAGUAGAUGUGCAGAAGAUGAAUAUGCAAGUAGAGAUACUGGGGUGCAAAGGAGCAAGAUAAAUUAACAAAUACAGUAUGGGGAUGAGGUAGAUAGAUGGGCUGUUUACAGAUGGGCUACGUACAGGUGCAGUGAUCUGUGAGCUGCUCUGACAGCUGGUGCUUCAAGCUAGUGAGAGAGAUAUGGGUCUCCAGCUUCAGUGAUUUUUGCAGUUCGUUCCAGUCACUGGGCAGCAGAGAACUGGAAGGAAAGGCAACCAAAGGAGGAAUUGGCUUUGGGGGUGACCAGUGAGAUAUACCUGCUGGAGCGCGUGCUACGAGUGGGUGCUGCUAUGGUGACCAGUGAGCUGAGAUAAGGCGGGGCUUUACCUAGCAGAGACUUGUAGAUAACCUGUAGCCAGUGGGUUUGGUGACGAGUAUGAAGCGAGGGCCAACCAACGAGAGCGUACAGGUCGCAGUGGUGAGUAGUGUAUGGGGCUUUGGUGACAAAACGGAUGGCACUGUGAUAGACUGCAUCCAAUUUGUUGAGUAGAGUGUUGGAGGCUAUUUUAUAGAUGACAUCGGAGAGGUCGAAGAUCGGUAGGAUGGUCAGUUUUACGAGGGUAUGUUUGGCAGCAUGAGUGAAGGAUGCUUUGUUGAGAUAUAGGAAGCCGAUUCUAGAUUUAAUUUUGGAUUGGAGAUGCUUAAUGUGAGUCUGGAAGGAGAGUUUAGUCUAACCAGACACCUAGGUAUUUGUAGUUGUCCACGUAUUCUAAGUCAGAGCCGUCCAGAGUAGUGAUGCUGGACGGGCGAGCAGGUGCGGGCAGUGAUCGAUUGAAUAGCAUGCAUUUAGUUUUACUUGUAUUUAAGAGCAGUUGGAGGCCACGGAAGGAGAGUUGUAUGGCAUUGAAGCUCGUCUGGAGGUUAGUUAACACAGUGUCCAAAGAGGGGCCAGAAGUAUACAGAAUGGUGUCGUCUGCGUAGAGUUGGAUCAGAGAAUCACCAGCAGCAAGAGCGACAUCAUUGAUGUAUACAGAGAAGAGAGUCGGCCCAAGAAUUGAACCCUAUGGCACACCCAUAGAGACUGCCAGAGGUCCGGACAACAGGCCCUCCGAUUUGACACACCUAACUCUAUCAGAGAAGUAGUUGGUAAACCAGGAGAGGCAAUCAUUUGUGAAACCAAGGCUGUCGAGUCUGCCAAUAAGAAUGUGGUGAUUGACAGAGUCGAAAGCCUUGGCCAGGUCGAUGAAUACGGCUGCACAGUAAUGUCUCUUAUCGAUGGCGGCUAUGAUGUCGUUUAGGACCUUGAGCGUGGCUGAGGUGCACCCAUGACCAGCUCUGAAACCGGAUUGCAUAGCGGAGAAGGUACGGUGGGAUUCGAAAUGGUCGGUAAUCUGUUUGUUAACUUGGCUUUCGAAGACCUUAGAAAGACAGGGUAGGAUAGAUAUAGGUCUGUAGCAGUUUGGGUCUAGACUGUCACUCCCUUUGAAGAGGGGAAUGACCGCGGCAGCUGUCCAAUCUUUGGGAAUCUCAGACGAUACGAAAGAGGUUGAACAGAAUAGUAAUAGGGGUUGCAACAAUUUUGGCAGAUAAUUUUAGAAAGAGAGGGUCCAGAUUGUCUAGCCCGGCUGAUUUUCUAGGGGUCCAGAUUUUGCAGCUCUUUCAAAACAUCAGCUGUCUGGAUUUGGGUGAAGGAGAAAUGGUGGGGGCUUGGGUGGGUUGCUGUGGAGGGUGCCGGGCAGUUGACUGAGGUAGGGGUAGCCAGGUGGAAAGCAUGGCCAGCCGUAGAGAAAUGCUUAUUGAAAUUCUCAAUUAUAGUGAAUUUAUCGGUGGUAACAGUGUUUCCUAGCCUCAGAGCAGUGGGCAGCUGGGAGGAGGUGCUCUUAUUCUCCAUGGAUUUUACAGUGUCCCAGAACUUGAGUUUGUACUACAGAAUGCAAAUUUCUGUUUGAAAAAGCUAGCCUUAGCUUUCCUAACUGCCUGUGUAUAUUUGUUCCUAACUUCCCUGAAAAGUUGCAUAUCACGGGGGCUAUUCGAUGCUAAUGCAGAACGCCACAGGAUGUUUUUGUGCUGGUCAAGGGCAGACAGGUCUGGAGUGAACCAAGGACUAUAUCUAUUCCUAGUUCUACAUUUUUUGAAUGGAGCAUGCUUAUUUAAGAUAGUAAGGAAGGCACUUUUAAAGAAUAACCAGGCAUCCUCUACUGACGGGAUGAGGUCAAUGUCAUUCCAGGAUACCCUGGCCAGGUUGAUUAGAAAGGCCUGCUCGCAGAAGUAUUUUAGGGAGCGUUUGACAGUGAUGAGGGGUGGUCGUUUGAUCGCAGAACCAUUAUGGAUGCAGGCAAUGAGGCAGUGGUCGCUGAUAUCUUGAUUGAAAACAGCAGAGGUGUAUUUGGAGGGCGAGUUAGUUAGGAUGGAAUCUAUGAGGGUUCCCGUGUUUAUGGAUUUGGGGUUGUACCUGGUAGGUUCAUUGAUAAUUUGUGUGAGAUUGAGGGCAUCAAGCUUAGAUUGUAGGAUGGCCGGGGUGUUAAGCAUGUCCCAGUUUAGGUCACCUAGUAGCACGAGCUCAGAAGAUAGAUGGGGGGCAAUCAAUUCACAUAUGGUGUCGAGGGCACAGCUGGGGGUAGAGGGUGGACUAUAGCAAGCCGCAACGGUGAGAGACUUGUUUCUGGAAAGGUGAAUUUUUAGAAGUAGAAGCUCGAAUUGUUUGGGUACAGACCUGGAUAGUAAGACAGAACUCUGCAGGCUAUCUUUGCAGUAGAUUGCAACAUUGCCCCCUUUGGCAGUUCUAUCUUGGCGGAAAAUGUUAUAGUUAGGUAUGCCAACCCGGCUAAGACAUCCGGGUUGGCAGAGUGUGCUAAAGCAGUGAGUAAAACAAAUUUAAGGAGUAGGCUUCUAAUGUUAACAUGCAUGAAACCAAAGCUUUUACCGUUACAGAAGUCAACAAAUGAGAGCACCUGGGGAGUGGGAGUUAGGCACUGCAGGACCUGGAUUAGCCUCUACAUCACCAGAGGAACAGAGGAGAAGUAGGAUAAGGGUACGGCUAAAGGCUUUACGAACUGGCCGUCUAGCACGUUCGGGAACAGAGAGUAAAAGGAGCAGGUGUCUGGGCACGAUAGCAUAGAUUCAAGGCAUAGUGUACAGACAAAAGUAAGGUAGGAUGUGAGUACAUUGGAGGUAAAACUGGGCAUUGAGUGAUGAUGAGAGAGAUAUAGUCUCUAGAGAUGUUUAAAGGUGAUGUCAUCGCAUAUGUAGGAGGUGGAACAACAUGGUUGGUUAAGGCAUAUUGAGCAGGGCUAGAGGCUCUACAGUGAAAUAAGACAGUGAUCACUAACCAGGACAGUAAUGGACAAGGCAUAUUGAUAUUAGAGAGGGGCAUGCGUAGCCAAGUGAUCAUAUGGGUCCAGUGAGUGGUUGGGCUGGCUGGGGACACAGCGAUUCAGACAGUUAGCAAGCCGGGGCUAACAAGCAAGCAGUUAGUAGGCCGGGGCUAACAAGCUAGCAGUUAGCAGACCGGGGUUAGCAAGCAAGUAGUUAGCAGACCGGGGCUAGCAAGCUAGCAAUUAGCAGCCCGGUGCUAGCAAGCUAGCAGUUAGCAGACCGGGGCUAGCAAGUUAGCAGAAGGACCCUUGGGGUCGUCGCGAUGGAGGUAAGCCUGUUUUUGCCUCCUCGUGCCGUGACGUCGAUAGACCAGUCGUGGAUUAGCAGGGUUCCAAGUAGCUCUAGAUAGCUAGCAGGCCGCGGUUAGCAGAAUGGGCCUUCAGCGGACGUCGCGCCUGAGGGGCCUGUUGGAAUCCUCGGGCAGAUUAUGUCGGUAUUCCAGUCGUAGAGGAUCGGGUCCGUGCCCCGUACCGGCAGUAGAAGGUGCCCGGAUAUUGUAGCCCAGGAGUGGGCUUCGGUGGUAGCCCAGGAGCCCUAGCCGGGCUAGCUUCAGGCUAAUUGGUGCUUGCUCCGGGAUGGAAACGCAAGCUAGGAGUAGUCACCCGGGAUUGCGGUUAGCUAGUUGCAAAGAUCCAGAUGAAAAGGUUCAGAGUUCGCGGUAGGAAUCCGGGGAUAUGGAGAGAAAAAUAGAUCCGUUAUCCUCUGGUUUGAGUCACGUUGUACGAACUGGCGAGAGCUUUCCGAGCUAAAGGUUAGCUGAUGACCGCUAGCAGUGGUUUGCUGACUGAUGGCAGUUAGUUAGCUGGCUAGCUUCAGUUGAGGGAUUCCAGAUCCGAAGUAAAUAGAAAUACUUUACAAAAAAACUGAUCCACGCCACAUUGGGUGAGGUGGGUUGCAGGAGAGUAUUUAGAAGUUGAGGUUUAGGAAAAUAUUUACAAAAGAUAUGCGAAGAAAAAGAUAUAAAAAGAUAUAUACAAGGGACACGACAGGACAAAGACGUCUGACUGCUACGCCAUCUUGGAAACACACAACAAUUAAUGAACAUGCACCGUGGAACGGUCAUUAAGACACUAACAGCUUACAGACGGCAGGCAAAUAAAGUCACAGUUAUGAUAACUUAAGACACUAAAGAGGCCUUUCUACUGACUCUGAAAAACUCCAAAAGAAAGAUGCCCAGGGUCCCUACUCAUCUGCGUGAACAUUACUUACACGGAACCCAAACCGGCUGCGCACGUGCGCCAUCGUGCAUACAUUUAUUUUGUCCCCCACACCAAACGCGAUUACGACACGCAGGUUAAAAUAUCAAAACAAACUCUGAACCAAUUACAUUAAUUUGGGGACAGGUCGAAAAGCAUUAAACACGUGUGGCAAUUUAGCUAGCUAGCUUGCACAUGCUAGCUAAUUUGUCCUAUUUAGCUAGCUUGCUGUUGCUAGCUAAUUUGUCCUGGGAUAUAAACAUUGAGUUGUUAUUUUACCUGAAAUGCACAAGGUCCUCUACUCCGACAAUUAAUCCACACAUAAAACGGUCAACCGAAUCAUUUCUAGUUAUCUCUCCUCCUUCCAGGCUUUUUCAUCUUUGAACUUAUAUGGUGAUUGGCAUCUAAACUUUCAUAGCAUUACCACGACGACCGGCAAAACAGUUCGUCUUUCAAUCACCCACGUGGGUAUAACUAAUGAGGAGAUGGCACGUGGGUAACUGCUUCUAUAAACCAAUGAGGAGAUAGGAGAGGCAGGACUUGCAGCGGGAUCUGCGUCAGAAAUAGGAAUGACUUCUAUUUUAGCCCUUGGCAACGCAGACGCUAGUUGGCGCGCGUGAGCAGUGUGGGUGCAACAAUUGAAUAACAUGGAUUUCUAAAUUUAUUUUGCAACGCUCGCGCACGCGACGUGUCCGGUCUGGUCAGCAUGUUAGGAAUGCUGCAAGGAGGCAAGAGGACUGCAGAUGCGGCCAGGGAAAUAAAUUGCAAUGUCCACACUGUGAGACGCCUAAGACAGCGCUACAGGGAGAUAGGACGGAGAGCUGAUCGUCCUCGCAGUGGCAGACCACGUGUAACAACACCUGCACAGGAUCGGUACAUCCGAACAUCACACCUGCGGGACAGGUUCAGGAUGGCAAUAACAACUGCCCAAGUUACACCAGGAACGCACAAUCCCUCCAUCAUUGCUC